AUAUAGAAUGCCUUGCUUAUGCAGGCCUUUCUCCUGGGGAUGCUGCAAUACCUAUCCAACUCACGAUGAACGUCUUGGAGUAUCCUGGAAUACAGACAGUUUCUCUUGGAAUAAGCAGAUUAUCUGAUGCAGACAAUCAGCACAAUGAAGACAUGAAGAGUGUCUCCGAAUCACUCCUGUAAGAAAGGGACUGGGGCCGGCUAACACAAUCAACACGCUCUCUGGAUUGGAUGUCAGUGGUGGACGUCAGGUGGAAAGGUGCUGGUGACACCACCUUCAUAUCAAGCCUGGCUGGACCGGAGUUACAUGAGAGGCUUCCAAGGAGCUGAAGAAAAGCAUUCCCUCAAAGCACUGUGACAGCAUGUCCUCACGCUAGGCAGCUCCAUCCGCAAUCUUCUAAGUUCUAGGUCCUCUGACCACGUGCAUCUGAUUAGGCUGAGGCUCCUCUCACAGCCUGAUGUGACAGCUAAUGCCAUGAUGUCCAUGUGCCCUGGUUCCAAGCAGUGGAUUUUCGUUUCCCUUCUGGGUCACUCUUGAGCAUGUCUGGAGUUCUACAACGG